rnacentral:rRNA from 1 species
GAGUUUGAUCGUGGCUCAGAUUGAACGCUGGCGGCAGGCCUAACACAUGCAAGUCGGGCGGUAGAGAGAAGCUUGCUUCUCUUGAGAGCGGCGGACGGGUGAGUAAUGCCUAGGAAUCUGCCUGGUAGUGGGGGAUAACGCUCGGAAACGGACGCUAAUACCGCAUACGUCCUACGGGAGAAAGCAGGGGACCUUCGGGCCUUGCGCUAUCAGAUGAGCCUAGGUCGGAUUAGCUAGUUGGUGAGGUAAUGGCUCACCAAGGCGACGAUCCGUAACUGGUCUGAGAGGAUGAUCAGUCACACUGGAACUGAGACACGGUCCAGACUCCUACGGGAGGCAGCAGUGGGGAAUAUUGGACAAUGGGCGAAAGCCUGAUCCAGCCAUGCCGCGUGUGUGAAGAAGGUCUUCGGAUUGUAAAGCACUUUAAGUUGGGAGGUAAGGGCAGUAAAUUAAUACUUUAGCUGUUUUGACGUUUACCGACAGAAUAAGCACCGGCUAACUCUGUGCCAGCCGCCG